rnacentral:rRNA from 1 species
CCUACGGGAGGCUGCAGUGGGGAAUAUUGGACAAUGGGGGCAACCCUGAUCCAGCCAUGCCGCGUGUGUGAAGAAGGCCCUCGGGUUGUAAAGCACUUUCAGUGAGGAAGAACGCCUGGUGGUUAAUACCCAUCAGGAAAGACAUCACUCACAGAAGAAGCACCGGCUAACUCCGUGCCAGCAGCCGCGGUAAUACGGAGGGUGCGAGCGUUAAUCGGAAUUACUGGGCGUAAAGCGCGCGUAGGUGGCUUGAUAAGCCGGUUGUGAAAGCCCCGGGCUCAACCUGGGAACGGCAUCCGGAACUGUCAAGCUAGAGUGCAGGAGAGGAAGGUAGAAUUCCCGGUGUAGAGGUGAAAUGCGUAGAGAUCGGGAGGAAUACCAGUGGCGAAGGCGGCCUUCUGGACUGACACUGACACUGAGGUGCGAAAGCGUGGGUAGCAAACAGGAUUAGAUACCCCGGUAGUC